AGCUUUUCAUGGGUGGUUAAAACUGUUCUGCCAGCUAUCUGAACUCCUUUGGGGAGAGGCUCAUCUCUCCUUGCCUAAGGGGUCUCUAUCUCUACAGGGCUAUAGGCUUUUUUAUUACAUGGAGACUCAGGUUAUGGAACCCCCAAGACUUGAGCUCACUUCCUUGGCAACAUCUCCAAACAGAACUUGGAACCCUUGUUAAUGGGUGUCACAGUCUAGUAACAGCCAUCUCCCAAGCUCACUUGGCUGGAGACGGUCAACAGCGAACAUGCUGAGCUGCUUCUCCACUUUGAGAGGCUGAAGCCUCAGGACCCCAGGUCGAGAAAGUAUCUGUGAAUGAUUAAGACUCCAUCCAGAUGGUGUAGACCAUGCUGUAGCAGCCACAGGACUGUCACAGACACCCCAGGGAUGGUCUCCCCAGGAGUGAUCACCAGUGACCUACCAAAAUCAAGGGAUCAAACUCAGGACUUGCACUUGUGAGGCAGGCGGCAGAACCACUGAGCUAAAUCCCAGCCCUGUUUUCCUUUUUUGAAACAACCUGUGCAAUAUGAUCGGAUGGAUUCCAAAAGACUGUUAAAUGAACAGAUUAAUUUCAUAUAAUUGCACUCUACAAUAAAUUAUUAGUAGUCAUCUCCAAUAAGUUGUCAGCAUGAA
rnacentral:lncRNA from 1 species